CGGUAAUACCAGCUCUCCGAGUGGUGUGGAUGUUUAUUGGGCCUAAAGCAUCCGUAGCUGGCUAGGUCAGUCCCUUGUUAAAUCCACCGAAUUAAUCGUUGGAUUGCGGGGGAUACUGCUUGGCUAGGGGACGAGAGAGGCAGACGGUAUUUUCGGGGUAGGGGUGAAAUCCUAUAAUCCCGGGAAGACCACCAGUGGCGAAGGCUGUCGGCUAGAACGCG
rnacentral:rRNA from 1 species